UCUAGAUUAUGCUCUCAGAAGACUUUAGCUAGAGUAUGUUGUUCAGUUGUGUUCUGUGCCACAAGAAAGAAGGGGAUAAACUGGAAGAAGUCCAGAGGAACAGCAAUUAGCAAUCUAGACGGCAUGCUGCUGGCAAGCACUGUGCAAGGGUCCACAUUGCAAAUGUACCUCCGUCCUGACCUGCAGCACCUCUGCUAUUCCCGUUUCCCAUCUCUCUGGAACAGAGCCUGCCAGUCCCGUGGCUCUGUGCCAAAUGGACUCCUGUUUUUCUGAAGUACGCAGCACCUGGAAUGAAGUUGGAAAGUACAUUUGGACUCCAAAGCCUGGAACGGGUGAACCCAAAUGAGGAAGAGAGGAGCCCUGCUUAUGCUGUUGUUCCAGCACAGGUGUCUGGGAGGGAGCCCUUGACAGAUGGAAGGAAAUUCCUGUACCUAGAGAUGAAGGUGGCAUCCCUGCUCCAUGCUGAAUCUCUGUUGGAGAGACCUGUCAUGGAAGGUAAUUUUAUACCUGGUUAUCUGAAAACCACACCCCACCAUUCUCUUUUCUCCUAUGACACCGUUUAUAUGCUACCUUAUCAAACAGAGAGCAGUCUUGGUUUCAACCUCAAUUAUAAAUAAGCUGAAUUUUGGAACAUGUGCACAUGAAGAAGACCCCCUUCACAGCAAGCUUUUCCUAAAAUCAAAUGUUUGCUCAGAUGAGCUGGCUAUCUGAAUGCUGGGAUGGGGGAUCAUUUGACCAUUUGUAUAUAUAAAUGAGAUUCUGUGAUGCAGUGUUUUCGCACAUGUAUAGGCAUGGCCUGUUGAGAUGCACAGACUAUAACUAACUUCAUCUAUAAAAGUAAUUGCAUUGACAUCAGUGGGACUAACUGCAAUGCAUAAAGACAAGUAUAUACAUGAAGUCCUUGCAGGCUGAAGGUCUCAGCGUC
rnacentral:lncRNA from 1 species